rnacentral:miRNA from 1 species
GGUGUGGCCUUGUUGGAAGGAGUGUGUCACUAGGGGUAGGCUUUGGGGUUUCAGAAGCCCAAGCCAGGCCCAGUGGCUCUCUUUCUUCCUACUGCCUACUGAUC